rnacentral:rRNA from 1 species
AUUGAACGCUGGCGGCAUGCCUUAUACAUGCAAGUCGAACGGCCAGACGGGGUUCUUCCUCCUCGCACGUUGGCGACGGGCGGGUAAUUCACCCGUAGGUAACCUGCCUUUAGGGCUAGGAUAACUACAGGCGGCCUGAUCUCAUACCGGACCAUAUAUUGAAACGCAGGGUUCAAUAGUGCACGCCGUUUUUGCUGGCACUACUUGGUGUAUCCGCGCCGCAUUAGCUAGGGGGUAAGGUAACGGCUUACCAAGGCAACGGUGCGUAGCCGACCUGAGAGGGUGAGCGGCCACACUGGAACUGAGACACGGGCCAGACUCCUACGGGAGGCAGCAGUAGGGAAUUUUGCGCAAUGGGCGAAAGCCUGACGGAGCAACGCCGCGUGAGUGAUGAAGGUCUUCGGAUCGUAAAACUCUGUUAUUAGGGAAGAACAAAUGUGUAAGUAACUAUGCACGUCUUGACGGUACCUAAUCAGAAAGCCACGGCUAACUACGUG